AGGUUAAGUUAAUAAGAGCGCACGGUGAAUGCCUAGGCACUAGGAGCCGAAGAAGGACGCGACGAACGGCGAAACGCCUCGGAGAGCAGUAAGUAAGCGACGACCCGGGGAUAUCCGAAUGGGGAAACCCACUAGUGGUCAUACACUAGUACCGAUGUGUGAAUACAUAGCACAUCAGGAGGCAGACCCAGGGAACUGAAACAUCUAAGUACCUGGAGGAAGAGAAAGAAAAAUCGAUUCCCGGAGUAGCGGCGAGCG
rnacentral:rRNA from 1 species